ensembl:lncRNA
AGGAUACCACAGGGCCAAACAGCUACUCAAAGAGCAUUUUGGAAAUGAUUAUAAAAUCGCCAUAGCCUACAUGAACAAAGUGUUAAACUGGACACCUAUCAGGCCAGAAGAUACUGAGUCUUUGAAUGCCUUUUCACUCUUCCUAACAGCCUGCUGCAACACCAUGGAUGAAGUGAGUUACAUGGAGGAGUUGGAUAAUGUUGCAAACUUGAAGGCUAUCGUAGCAAAGCUUCCAUUCAAGUUACGUGAAAGGUGGAGAAGUGUUGUGUGUGGCAUACAAGAGCGAUGUGACAGAAGAGUCAAAUUUAAAGAUUUAGUUGAGUUCAUUAACAAGCAGGCCAAAAUUGCACUUCACCCAGUAUUUGGUGACAUAAAAGAUAGCACUCCAGCUAAAACGCCCCCAAUUCAACCAAAUUAUUACAAAGAACAGAAAAAAGGCAUAAUCAAGAAGUCAUUCACCACAAGUGCCAUACAGCUGGACACAUCAAAGAAAAACACAGGCUCAGUUGAGCACACAGAUCCUGCCUCACCAACGACACCACCGUGUCUCUUCUGUAAAGGUGAGCACGCCAUAGAGACAUGUAGUAAGCUUAAAGGCAAGCCACACAAAGAAAAAAUAGAAUUCUUGAGAAGCAAAGGACUUUGUUUUAGCUGCCUUAAGCAUGGCCACAUGAGUAAAUUCUGCAAAGGAAAAGUGAGCUGUGAGGUGUGUUCCUUGACUCAUCCUACACUGCUGCACAUUAAGAAAAAGGACAUGGUCACUUAUGCAGAAAAGAAGACAGACAAUUGUGACGGUCAGACAGUCUUGAGUGCAUUUGUCUGCACUCAGUCUGAGGGUUGUGAGCUGACUGGGGCCGGGGAAGAUGACUGCAUACUUGCAAUAGUUCCCGUCCAAGUCAAGGCCAAGAUGGGAAAUGUGGUGCUGCAGACGUAUGCCUUCAUGGACCCGGGUAGCUCAGCCACGUUUUGUACCGAGACACUGAUGAACAAAUUGAAGCUCAGUGGACGGAAGACCGACAUACUGCUGAGAACCAUGAACGAAGAGAAACCUGUCAGUACUUACGUGGUGUCCGGCCUGGAGGUCAGCAGUCUGUCAGGUGACGAGUUCAUUGAUCUUCCAGAUGCUUUCACGCAAAAGACGAUACCUGUAGGUAAAGAAAACAUACCACAACAAAAGGAUCUUGAAAGGUGGCCUCACCUCAAAGAAAUAAAGCUGCCCCAGAUUGAAGCUGACAUCGGAUUGCUUAUUGGAGCAAAUGUGCCUAAAGCUAUGGAACCAUGGGAGGUGGUGAGCAGUGUUGGUAAUGGACCGUACGCUGUAAGAACCAAACUCGGCUGGACCGUGAAUGGACCUUUAAGAGAAAGCUGCAGUCACACAGGUAAAAGAACACCAACCAAGACCAUGGCAAACCGCAUCUCAGUGGCCAGUCUGGAGAACUUGUGGCUUCAACAGUUUCAGAUGGAUUUCCCAGAGGGAGGGAAACAUGAUGAAGUGGAGAUGUCCCGAGAAGACCAUCAGUUCAUGGACAUUGUAAUGGAUUCAGCAAAACGGGUCGACGGCCAC